rnacentral:rRNA from 1 species
AACGCGAAGAACCUUACCAGGUCUUGACAUCCCCAUGAAAGCAUCAGAGAUGAUGGCGCUCUCUUCGGAGCAUGGGAGACAGGUGGUGCAUGGUUGUCGUCAGCUCGUGUCGUGAGAUGUUGGGUUAAGUCCCGCAACGAGCGCAACCCUUGAUGCUAGUUGCCAGCAUGUAAAGAUGGGCACUCUAGGAUGACUGCCGGUGACAAACCGGAGGAAGGUGGGGAUGACGUCAAAUCAUCAUGCCCCUUAUGACCUGGGCUACACACGUACUACAAUGGCCGGUACAACGGGAAGCGAAGGAGCGAUCUGGAGCGAAUCCUUAGAAGCCGGUCUCAGUUCGGAUUGCAGGCUGCAACUCGCCUGCAUGAAGUCGGAAUUGCUAGUAAUCGCGGAUCAGCAUGCCGCGGUGAAUACGUUCCCGGGCCUUGUACACACCGCGAGC